UCGAGGAUCUUCGGCAAUGGGGGCAACCCUGACCGAGCGACGCCGCGUGGACGACGAAGGCCUUCGGGUUGUAAAGUCCAAAGGUACCAAGGAAGACUGACUGAGGUACAGUAAGCACGGGCUAAGUUCGUGCCAGCAGCCGCGGUAAGACGAACCGUGCAAACGUUGUUCGGAAUCACUGGGCUUAAAGGGCGCGUAGGCGGGUCGGCACGUCUGAGGGUGAAAGACCACAGCUCAAAUGUGGCAGGG
rnacentral:rRNA from 1 species